CGUUCAGGCCAGUGCAUUGUAGAUGGAAUGCCCCGCAGCAUUGCCCUUCACAGAGAAGGAGGUCUCCCUGCUUCUCACAUGCCUUCAGAAACAGACAGUCAUUGAGAACACAAGCCAUAACUAGAUUCAACCAUCUGAAUGAAAUGAAAUGCCACAUAUUCAGAAAAAGAGAAAGCCAUAUGAGGAACAUUUCUGGAUCUCAGCUGACCUGGUUCGCCUGAGCUCGGCCCAUCUCCAAUGUCUGCUCUCCAGGCCAGAGCAAAGGGCAGACCUGCGGGGCAGGACACGACGAAAGUGUCCCGGCAACGGUCUGCCCUGCGGGAUGAGUCUGUUCACUCCUCUUUUGUAGACAAAAGCUAGAGGUCUCAGUUUGGCCUCUGCACAAAGACACUGUGCUACUCUUGGCAGAACUAUAAACAUCCUUUCCUUUAUAUGGGACACUUGCCGAUGGUUAAGGAAGGACUGGAAUAAACAGCGCCAAGAUGUUCUUCCUCUCCUAAAUCUCAUAUAUCCAAUUAAUUAGUUUAUUAAGGUGGGGGAAAACGUGUGCACCUCCUCUCGGUUGUUUCCAGACAGGUUUAAUGUGCAUUUAAGGCUGAACAAUGGCCUGCUCAUUCAUAUGCAAAAGCGAGGUAUAUGGAGCAAGCCAGUUUUUGUGGGCAAUGACUCAGACACCGAUUGAGGGGCAGUGGGGCAUGACGAGAGGCCCUCCCCGUAUCUGCCCGUCGCAGCUCUCUCUGCUCCGAAAAAAAGAAAGGGCUGGUCUCUACCCGGUGGGGUGGAGUGGGGGGGAGAGGACAAAGAGCACAGCCGUGAAAUGGCGCUUGUAAAAGACUGGCACCGGCCCCCUCAUUGAGAUGUCAAUCUGAAUCGUGGUUCUGUGGGAUGAGGCCUGUCAUAUAGCUGUUGAUGAGACAGUAGAGGGUUUAGGGCUCCUCGCUGGUGUGGGUGGACAGGGGCGGAUCACGAUCUGAUGCUG